ACUUGCUCUCUCUCCCCGGCAUAUCACCACUGCAUAUCACCACUGCGUCGGUGCAGUGAUAUUUGCGUUCUGCCCAGCAAGACUGAAUCCACAGCCAAGAGUUCCUAGUUCGGGGAUUUCAUGCUAUGUGGUCAUACCAGCAGAGGGUAAGAAAGCCUUCCCUAACUACGGUCCACCACACCAUGCCAAGCCUGUGGAAAAAGCAAGCGAGGGCGUUUGUGAAUUUACCAUGAUCCUAUCCCCACUUCCACGUGGUGCAACGACAGUUCAUUCAAACAGAAGAGGCUGAUUGAGGGAAAACCACAAACAACUUUGGAAGUAAAAUCUUAGACAAAGCAAACGUUCAUUGACUCUUGGAGACAGAUCAAAUAUUUAUUAACUCAGAAAAGAAUUAAAGUCUAUUCAUGCA